UCCAGACUCCUACGGGAGGCAGCAGUGGGGAAUAUUGGGCAAUGGGCGCAAGCCUGACCCAGCAACGCCGCGUGAAGGAAGAAGGCUUUCGGGUUGUAAACUGCUUUAGACAGGGAAGAAACAAGACAGUACCUGUAGAAUAAGCUCCGGCUAACUACGUGCCAGCAGCCGCGGUAAUACGUAGGGAGCAAGCGUUAUCCGGAUUUAUUGGGUGUAAAGGGUGCGUAGACGGGAAGGCAAGUUGGUUGUGAAAUCCCUCGGCUUAACUGAGGAACUGCAACCAAAACUAUCUUUCUUGAGUGCUGGAGAGGAAAGUGGAAUUCCUAGUGUAGCGGUGAAAUGCGUAGAUAUUAGGAGGAACACCAGUGGCGAAGGCGACUUUCUGGACAGUAACUGACGUUGAGGCACGAAAGUGUGGGGAGCAAACAGGAUUAGAUACCCCUGUAC
rnacentral:rRNA from 1 species